UACGUAGGGUGCAAGCGUUGUCCGGAAUUAUUGGGCGUAAAGAGCUCGUAGGCGGUCUGUCGCGUCGGCUGUGAAAACUCGGGGCUCAACCCCGAGCCUGCAGUCGAUACGGGCAGACUAGAGUGCUGUAGGGGAGACUGGAAUUCCUGGUGUAGCGGUGAAAUGCGCAGAUAUCAGAGGAACACCGGUGGCGAAGGCGGGUCUCUGGGCAGUAACUGACGCUGAGGAGCGAAAGCGUGGGGGAGCGAACAGG
rnacentral:rRNA from 1 species